rnacentral:tRNA from 1 species
UCCUGGUUGGUUCUGUUGGUAGAGCAUGUGACUUCUAAUCUCAGGGUCAUGAGUUCAAGUCCCAUGUUGGGCA